rnacentral:lncRNA from 1 species
CGGACGAACCUCCCCAAUGCCAUCCAAAGUCCACCGCCAACUAACCCUCUGUCAGAUUCUUCAUGAAACCGGACUUCCCCAAUAGAAAGUCUCCAUCCAAGUUUCUACAGCAGAUGGUUUCCGCCUGCGGCAUCAGUGCUCUAGACACCCAACAAUAGUAGACCCGUCACAACCUCAGAAACAUCUGAGCUUCUCCUAGAUCGAUGGGAUAGAGAGCCAUUCCACUCCAUCAGAUAUCCCAACCGAGCUCCAGCCGACAGAUCCGAACUCUCUGGCA